rnacentral:rRNA from 1 species
GACAGAGGAGGCAAGCGUUGUUCGGAAUCACUGGGCUUAAAGCGCGCGCGGGCGGCCCGUUAAGCGUCUUGUGAAAUCACACGGCUCAACCGUGGAACUGCAGGGCGAACUGUCGGGCUUGAGGUCGGUAGAGGUGCCUUGAACUCUAGGUGGAGCGGUGAAAUGCGUAGAUAUCUAGAGGAACGCCAGAGGCGAAAGCGGGGCACUGGGCCGAUUCUGACGCUGAGGCGCGAAAUCGUGGGGAGCAAACAGG